AGCGAACGCUGGCGGCAGGCCUAACACAUGCAAGUCGAACGAACUCUUCGGAGUUAGUGGCGGACGGGUGAGUAACACGUGGGAACGUGCCUUUAGGUUCGGAAUAACUCAGGGAAACUUGUGCUAAUACCGAAUGUGCCCUUCGGGGGAAAGAUUUAUCGCCUUUAGAGCGGCCCGCGUCUGAUUAGCUAGUUGGUGAGGUAAAGGCUCACCAAGGCGACGAUCAGUAGCUGGUCUGAGAGGAUGAUCAGCCACAUUGGGACUGAGACACGGCCCAAACUCCUACGGGAGGCAGCAGUGGGGAAUCUUGCGCAAUGGGCGAAAGCCUGACGCAGCCAUGCCGCGUGAAUGAUGAAGGUCUUAGGAUUGUAAAAUUCUUUCACCGGGGGCGAUAAUGACGGUACCCGGAGAAGAAGCCCCGGCUAACUUCGUG
rnacentral:rRNA from 1 species